rnacentral:RNase_P_RNA from 1 species
UCAGACAACUGAUUAGUCGCUUUUGUUGAAAAACAAGAGAGGAAAGUCCGGGCUCCAUAAGAACGCGGUGCCAGAUAACAUCUGGCGAGGGUAACCUUAGGGAUAGUGCCACAGAAAAUAAACCGCCUGAUCGAGGCAAGGGUGAAAAGGUGUGGUAAGAGCACACCGGUUUUUUGGUAACAAAAAACGCAUGGAAAACCCCACCGGGAGCAAGACCAAAUAGAGAUAGCAUGGCCUUUUUUGGCCGAAAACAGUUCUUAGUUAGCUAUCUGGGUUGGUUGCUAGAGGCUAAAUGUGAAUUUAGUCCCAGAUAAAUGAUUAAUUUAAAUGACAGAACCCGGCUUACAGGUUGUCUGACUAU